CUCGCCGCUCGCUUCUGCCAUUCCAGCUUGCCGUCGCCAUUCCACUACUCGCCCAACUCCGCAGUAACAUUAGGGUACCAUAUUGCCGGAAGUAUGGGUGUAUUCUAUGAUCGUGAACCAUAUGUCAAUGCUGAUGCUGCACAUGUAACUCGAUUUCUAGGCUUAGCAUCUGUUGGAAAUAAAGAAAAACAGAAAUUCCAUUCAU